GAGUGAUCCAGCUGCAGUUUACUCAGCAGUGAAAACAGCAGAAGACGUCACUUAUGGACAAAUAGUCAUCAAAUCAAACAGGAAGAGAGAGAGUGAUCCAGCUGCAGUUUACUCAGCAGUGAAAACAGCAGAAGACGUCAGUUAUGGACAAAUAGUCGUCAAAUCAAACAGGAAGAGAGUGUCUCCAUUAGAGCCAGAGGUUGUCUACUCUUCACUGAGGUAGACCUCCACACCUUCACACCAGUCCAACCACUGACGUCCAGCUGGCCUGUUACUGGUCUCCAGAGCCCCUCAGACAGUAGUACAUUCAUUUAUAGAUUUCAUAUACUUCAUGUUGUUGUUCACUAAAUUACACUCAGGCAGCAACAGA